AUUGAACGCCGGCGGAAUGCUUUACACAUGCAAGUCGAACGGCAGCGCGGGGCAACCUGGUGGCGAGUGGCGAACGGGUGAGUAAUACAUCGGAACGUGCCCAAUCGUGGGGGAUAACGUAGCGAAAGCUACGCUAAUACCGCAUACGAUCUACGGAUGAAAGCGGGGGAUCGCAAGACCUCGCGCGAAUGGAGCGGCCGAUGGCAGAUUAGGUAGUUGGUGGGGUAAAGGCUCACCAAGCCGACGAUCUGUAGCUGGUCUGAGAGGACGACCAGCCACACUGGGACUGAGACACGGCCCAGACUCCUACGGGAGGCAGCAGUGGGGAAUUUUGGACAAUGGGCGCAAGCCUGAUCCAGCCAUUCCGCGUGCAGGAUGAAGGCCUUCGGGUUGUAAACUGCUUUUGUACGGAACGAAAAGGCUCUGGUUAAUACCCGGGGCUCAUGACGGUACCGUAAGAAUAAGCACCGGCUAACUACGUGCCAGCCGCCGCCGUAA
rnacentral:rRNA from 1 species